UACGGAAGGCAGCAGUGGGGAAUAUUGCACAAUGGGCGAAAGCCUGAUGCAGCUAUGCCGCGUGUAUGAAGAAGGCCUUAGGGUUGUAAAGUACUUUCAUCGAGGAGGAAAAACAAAACUAAUAAUUUUAUUUCUUGACGUUACCCGAAAAAGAAGCACCGGCUAACUCCGUGCCAGCAGCCGCGGUAAUACGGAGGGUGCUAGCGUUAAUCAGAAUUACUGGGCGUAAAGAGCACGUAGGUGGUUUUUUUAAGUCAGAUGUGAAAUCCCUGGGCUUAACCUAGGAACUGCAUUUUGAAACUGAAAUACUAGAGUAUCGUAGAGGGAGGUAGAAUUCUAGGUGUAGCGGUGAAAUGCGUAGAUAUCUGGAGGAAUACCUGUGGCGAAAGCGGCCUCCUAAACGAAUACUGACACUGAGGUGCGAAAGCGUGGGGAGCAAACAGGGAUUAGAUACC
rnacentral:rRNA from 1 species